rnacentral:rRNA from 1 species
UACGUAGGGACCAAGCGUUGUUCGGAUUUACUGGGCGUAAAGGGCGCGUAGGCGGCAAUUCAAGUCAUCUGUGAAAUCUCCGGGCUUAACUCGGAACGGUCAGGUGAAACUGCUUUGCUAGAGUGUGGAAGGGGCAAUCGGAAUUCUCGGUGUAGCGGUGAAAUGCGUAGAUAUCGAGAGGAACACCUGAGGUGAAGACGGGUUGCUGGGCCGACACUGACGCUGAAGCGCGAAAGCCAGGGGAGCAAACGGG